rnacentral:rRNA from 1 species
AUGUAUAACCUUCCUCCUUGGAUGUGCAUGAAGCGGAAGUUCAUUAUGAUGCCAAUUCUCAUCCAAGGCCCUAAGCAACCCGGCAACGACAUUGAUGUGUUCCUAAGGCCAUUAGUGGAAGAACUUUUACAGCUGUGGAAUGGAAAUGGUGUACGUACGUGGGAUGAGCACAAACAGGAGGAAUUUAACCUGCACGCGUUGCUGUUUGUAACCAUCAAUAAUUGGCCCGCUCUCAGUAACCUUUCAGGACAGACAAACAAGGGAUACCACGCAUGCACGCACUGUUUAGAAGAAACUGAAAGUAUAUACCUGGACAAAUGCAGGAAGAAUGUGUACCUGGGCCAUCGUCGAUUUCUUCCGACCAACCAUCAAUGUCGAAAGAAAGGCAAGCAUUUCAAAGGCGAGGUAGAUCCCAGAAGAAGCCCGCCAUGUGUACCGGUGAUCACGUACUUGCUAUGGUCAAUGAUUUACACGUAA